rfam:Oryza sativa (indica cultivar-group) chromosome 3, whole genome shotgun sequence.
AAAAAGGCAAACCGCGAGUUUGUGUGCCAACGUUUGACUGUCCGUCUUAUAUUAAAUUUUUUUAUAAUUAGUAUUUUUAUUGUUGUUAGAUGAUAAAACAUGAUGAAUACUUUAUGCGUGACUUAUCUUUUUAAUUUUUUUCAUAACUUUUUCAAAUAAGACGAACGGUUAAACAUUGGACACGAAAAUCAGGGUUUGUCUUUUU